AGAGUUUGAUCCUGGCUCAGGAUGAACGCUGGCGGCGUGCCUAACACAUGCAAGUCGAGCGAUCUCUUCGGAGAGAGCGGCGGACGGGUGAGUAACGCGUGGGUAACCUGCCCUGUACACACGGAUAACAUACCGAAAGGUAUACUAAUACGGGAUAACAUAYGAAAGUCGCAUGGCUUUUGUAUCAAAGCUCCGGCGGUACAGGAUGGACCCGCGUCUGAUUAGCUAGUUGGUAAGGUAAUGGCUUACCAAGGCAACGAUCAGUAGCCGACCUGAGAGGGUGAUCGGCCACACUGGAACUGAGACACGGUCCAGACUCCUACGGGAGGCAGCAGUGGGGAAUAUUGCACAAUGGGCGAAAGCCUGAUGCAGCAACGCCGCGUGAGCGAUGAAGGCCUUCGGGUCGUAAAGCUCUGUCCUCAAGGAAGAUAAUGACGGUACUUGAGGAGGAAGCCCCGGCUAACUACGUGCCAGCAGCCGCGGU
rnacentral:rRNA from 3 species